GUAGUCGUGGAAGAUUGAUAAAGCGAUGGACUAGAAAUCCAUUCGGAUUUUUCCGCAUAAGUUCGAAUCCAACCGACUACG